rnacentral:misc_RNA from 1 species
GAUGAAGAACGCAGCGAAAUGCGAUAAGUAGUGUGAAUUGCAGAAUUCAGUGAAUCAUCGAAUCUUUGAACGCACAUUGCGCCCUUUGGUAUUCCUUAGGGCAUGCCUGUUCGAGCGUCAUUUAAACCUUCAAGCUAAGCUUGGUGUUGGGUGACUGUCCGCUUCACGGCGGACUCGCCUCAAAAUUAUUGGCGGCCGGUACAUUGGCUUCGAGCGCAGCAGAAACGCGAACUCGGGCCCGUCGUAUUGGCUCCCAGAAGCUAUCUUCACAAUUUUGACCUCGGGUCAGGUAGGGAUACCCGCUGAACUUAAGCAUAUCAAUAAGCGGAGGA